rnacentral:rRNA from 1 species
UCAAGCUACUAAGGGCAUACGGUGGAUGCCUUGGUACCGAGAGGCGAUGAAGGACGUGGUAAGCUGCGAUAAUCCGUGGGGAGCCGCUAAACAGGCUUUGAUCCGCGGGAUUCCGAAUGGGGGAACCCAUCCAGAGUCAUGUCUGGAUAUCGUUGUCUGAAUCCAUAGGGCAACGAGGCGAACGCAGGGAACUGAAACAUCUAAGUACCUGCAGGAACAGAAAUCAACAGAGAUUCUCAAAGUAGCGGCGAGCGAAAUGGGAAGAGCCCAAACCGAUUGUGUGUAAGCCCGCAGGCGUUGCAUAAUCGGGGUUGUGGGGGCAGUUCGGAGCGGGUUGCGGACCGCUCGGGAAGUUACCAAACAUAUAUAUAGGAGAACGAUCUGGAAAGUUCGGCCAUAGACGGUGAUAGCCCGGUAUCCGGCAUAUAUAUGUCUUCCUGGGACUGUUUCCCGAGUACCGCGGGGCACGUGGAACCCUGUGGGAAGCUGGGAGGACCAUCUUCCAAGGCUAAAUACUACUCGGUAACCGAUAGUGAACAAGUACCGUGAGGGAAAGGUGAAAAGCACCCCGGAGAGGGGAAUGAAAUAGUACCUGAAACCGUAUGCCUACAUUCUGUGGUAGCCCCAUGUCAUAGCUUGCUAUGACGGGGUAACCGCGUGCCUUUUGCAUAAUGAGUCAGCGAGUUAUUCUAUGCAGCAAGGUUAAGCCGUUAGGUGGAGCCGUAGCGAAAGCGAGUCUUAAUAGGGCGACAUAGUUGCAUGGAAUAGACCCGAAGCCGGGUGAUCUAUCCAUGGCCAGGGUGAAAGUUCGGUAAAACGAACCGGAGGCCCGAACCAGUGUAUGUUGAAAAAUACUUGGAUGAGCUGUGGAUGGGGGUGAAAGGCCAAUCAAACUCGGAGAUAGCUGGUUCUCCCCGAAAUAUAUUUAGGUAUAGCCUCAGAUGAUGGUUCCCGGGGGUAGGGCUCUGGAUGGGCUAGGGGUCCUCGCGGAUUACCAACCCCAACCAAACUUCGAAUACCGGACAACUUAAUCUGGGAGUCAGCCCGUGGGAUAUAAGUUCAACGGACAAAAGGGAAACAACCCAGACCGCCAGCUAAGGUCCCUAAUAGAUGCUAAGUGGGAAAGGCGGUGGAAUUGCAUAAACAACCAGGAUGUUGGCUUAGAAGCAGCCAUCAUUUAAAGAAAGCGUAAUAGCUCACUGGUCGAGUGGUUCUGCGCCGAAAAUUUAACGGGGCUCAAGUAUCUAACCGAAGCUGCGGAUCUACGCGCAAGCGUAUGAUGGUAGGGGAGCGUACCAGUCGCCUGCGAAGCCGUACUGAAAAGAGCGGUGGAGGCCCUGGUAGUGAUUAUGCUGACAUGAGUAACGAAAAUUCCAGUGAGAAUCUGGAACGCCGAAAGCCCAAGGGUUCCUGCGGAAGGGUUAUCCGCGCAGGGUUAGUCGGGUCCUAAGCCGAGGCCGAAAGGCGUAGGUGAUGGAAAACAGGUUAAUAUUCCUGUACCACUGUUGGAGCGUUAUCAGCAAUGGGGGGACGCAGGAGGGUAUGCGUACCGGGCGUUGGUUGUCCCGGGUUAAGCCCGUAGGGAGAUCUUCCAGGCAAAUCCGGAGGGUCAAUCCUGAGAGGUGAUGACGAGCUUAAUUGCGAGCGAAGUCGCAAAUCCCACACUGACAAGAAAAGCCUCUAGCGAGCUCUAAUGGUGACCGUACUCGAAACCGACACAGGUGGGCGGGGUGAAAAACCUCAGGCGUUGAGUGAAACCUCGUUAAGGAACUCGGCAACUUGACACCGUAACUUCGGGAGAAGGUGUGCCCCCAUUAGGUGUAAAAAUUCACUUUUGAAGCCGAAGGGGGUCGCAGAGAAGUGGCCGCAGCGACUGUUUACUAAAAACACAGGACUCUGCUAAAUCGCAAGAUGACGUAUAGGGUCUGAUGCCUGCCCGGUGCCGGAAGGUUAAGGGGAUUCGUUAGUCGCAAGGCGAAGCGUUGAACCGAAGCCCCGGUAAACGGCGGCCGUAACUAUAACGGUCCUAAGGUAGCGAAAUUCCUUGUCGGGUAAGUUC